UGUUAGGGAGACAGAUGAACUUGUAGAUGUUAGUUUAUUUUGUGUUCUAAAACAAAGUCAGUUUUUAGUGCUUAAUGAAUGUUUGAGUGUCUCAAUUGAUGGUUUUGAUUUAUAACCCUUUCAUGUUUUAUGCCAAGUAUACUUCAUAGUUCGGUAUUAAACCAUUCCAUUCUAGACCUGAUUCAUUAUUGUCUAUGAUAAUUCUUUGACUAUCUAUGCCAUGUAUAGUUAGUGCUUCGGAUAUCUACAUUUAGGUCGAGACCAGCUGGUGUUGCAAUGGAAUUGGAAUGGGUAUUUGCAGUUACCUGUGAUGGAAAGCUGGUGUUGCAGGUGAUGUUGCAAUGGAAUUGGAAUGGGUAUUUGCAGUGAGGUUGUAUCUGCUUAAGCCGUUUGAUGUUGCUGACAAAUUUGCUGAAUUAAGUGCUACUGAAAUUGAAGGAGGAGAGGAGAGUAUCUAGAGAGUUGUCUUGCCAGAUACAUGAUGAAGCGAAAAAGUUCUCUUAUCAGACUGGUGUUAAAGUCGCUGUUGCAUAUGGUGGAGCACCAAUGCACAAGCAGGGAUGCCAUUCAUGCUAGAGAUUUAGAACACCAGCAGGCAUGGUCUCGAGUUCAAAGUCCAUAAUCUUAACUGGAUGAACAUGGCUUGGAGAUCUGGUUUACAAUCUCCUAUGCGUUCAAGAGAUGCAGCUCCAAUACAGACACCGCCUGUCGUUGAGCCUUGGUGCCGAGAUAUUCUUAGUUUGUCUACGGAAUGUCAACUGAUAGUGCAUGACUUUUCACAAAAUCUCAAGGAUGUGGUGCAGCAGCAACAAGUAACAACUUCUGUAACGGAACGAUUAUUGGUGCACAACAUUUUGCAGCAGCUGUUGUUGCUUAAAUGGUUUUUUCCGUAAACUAAGCAUCUCCUCUUGAUGGUGAUGGGCACGAAAGGUUUGUGUUUGCCUGGGAUUCUCAUCACUGAUACCAGCAAGUCAAUGGUGAGCAGUUACACGAUUCCAAAUUCGAAUCAGCACAGUUGCAUACUAGGGUGAAUGUUCUCAUAUACAUCUUAAUCUUUUUAGAGUGUGUUUUGGAAACUCCACUUUUGUAACAAACAUCUAUAUCACUGCCAUUUUUUGAAUGUGUGUUUAAG